rnacentral:lncRNA from 1 species
CCCCAUCCCCAUCCCUAUCCACAUCCGCAGCCGUAGCCGCAUCCAAGUACACCCACUGCCCGAUUCACUUACUUAACAGGUGUGACAGCGGCAACAACGAGUCGGCUGCUGUCACUCGAACAAGUAAAGCCAAGUGAAUAACUGUGACGAUGACAAGGACGAAAGCAGGACACGUUUUAGCAGAUAAAUGCCAGGCACUUAAGUC